ensembl:lncRNA
GGGAAAUGUGGACACAGAGAGAGGGAAGAAAAGUGAAGACGCAGGGAGAAGAUGGCUCCGUGACUGAGUGACUCAUCUGCAAACUGAAGAAUGCCUAGGCCUGCCAGAAGCUAGGAGAGAGGCCUGGAAAACGUCCUUCCCCAGGGCCUUCGGAGGGAGCAUGGCCUUUCUAAGCCUUGAUUUUGGACUUCCAGCCUCCAAACUUGUGAGACAAUAAAUUUCCAUUAUUCUAAGCAACCCAGUUUAUGGUACUUUGUUACUGCAGCCCUUAGCCAACUAAUACAGAGCCUUUGAUCAAAUCUGGACCAGGAUUAAGAGGGUUUUAGAUCGCUUUCCUAUUUCCAUUACAGGGAGCAAGUUCCUUUAGGCUUUUACCCUUUUUCUGGCAACUCUAAGCCAGCACUUCAUAUAAAAUAGCCAGAGAGAAAGCCCACUCUAUGUAGAGUUUAUGAAGAUCACUUUCUCACACUAUCCUUUUUCAAAAAUCCAUCACUUUGAAUUAAGAAAAUAAUCCCGUGAAGAAAACCUUGGAAAUAUUUCCUACAAUCAAUAAUUAGCCAAUUGCCUUAGUUUCCUAUAACUGCUAUAAUAAAAGAGGUCUCUCUCCUCCCUUUUUGUUUCUGUUGCUUCAUCACUGUUACUGUCUUUGAACCUCCUACCUCCCUCUUAUAAAGGCCCUUGUGAUUACAUUGAGCUCAGCCCGAUAAUCCAGAAUAACCUCCUCAUCUCAAGAUUGUUAACAUCAUACCUUCAAAGUCCUUUUUGCCAGGUAAGAUAAAGUAUUCACAGACUCUGAAGAUUAGGAUGUAGACAUCUUUAGAGGACCAUUAUUCAGUCUACGACAACAGUAAGUACCCCCUUUGCAAAAUAUGUUGCUAUAAAUACCAAUUAAAUCUUGAAAGAAACUUUUCAAAAGCUGGUCUUUUAAAAUUGUUCCUAAAGAAAUAGCUGGGAAAAAAAAUACAGAUUUAAUAGAACUGCUACACCUUUUCUAUGAUAAUCCAUUCAUUUAUUCAGUAGAUAUUUAUUUUUAAAAGUGCCAUGUUUCCAGCACUUUCUCGGUUUCUCCUCAUGGAACUUACAUCAUAGUAGAGGGAGGAAAUUACAAUAACUAAACAAAAAAAUAAGUGCUAUAGUUUCCAGGCCCUGUGAAAUAAAGUUGAGUGAAGGAAGAUAAUUACUAUUUGGGACAAGGAUAUUUCUCUAAAGAAAGUGACAUUGGUACAGUCUUGAAUUAAAUGAGAGAGAAGACAAAGUGAAUACUUGUGUGUAGAUAUUUCUGGGGAGGAACAUUUCUAUUAGGAGGUUCUUUGCGUCAAAAACAUACUAUUCUUAAGUGAAUAAUAAUUUACUAUAUCGUAAUAAAAAUAAGAAAUUUCUCUUAAUCUGUUGUCGUACCAGAUAUAACCUAAGGGAUCCUGACGCAAAAUAAAAAAUGAGGAUGCUCUCUCACAGGUACGACGUGGAAACAGACUCAGAUAGAAUCAACUCCAUAAUUUUCAAAAGGAGAAGAGUUCAGUCAUUAAAUUCUUUACUCAUUAAGGUGAGGCUCAGAUUCAGAAGCCAAGACUCUAAAAAAUUCUCUCUCUCUCUCUCUCAAUAUAUAUACAUACAAUUUCUGUAUCUAGAAGGGUAGUUUGUUGACAUUCUUGUCUAUGAAGAGGGAAAGUUAAUUGUAUAUAAAAGCUCAUACUUUUAUUAAACUAUUGAUUUGUAUAUAGUUAUAGGAUAUCAGAUAUUACAAAAGUUAAUGUAUAUCUGGUUUGAAAUAGAUACACUCAGAUAAACCAAGAUUUUUUCUUUUUUAAUGGCAGUAUUGGAGUAUAACUUACACACCAGGAAGUUUAUUUUCUUGUUUUAAGUGUCUGUGGAAAUUUGUUAUGUUACAGAUGACCUGUAAGUAGAGACGGAUAUUCCUAAGAGUAAUGAAAUGGUCAAUGUUCAAAGGUUUUACAAUCUAGCUGGAGAAAUAAGCAUGAGUACCACUACCAAAAAUGUAAUAAUACAGAUAUUAUUACAAUUCAAAUAAGGUAUAAUAGUCUUUUGGCUAUUUUCUUAAGUAAUUCUUUUUUUGUUUUUAUCUUCUUACCUCCUUCACCCAUUUCUACUACCCCCUACCCCCUGCCGCUGGCAACCACCAAUCUGUUCUCUGUAUCUGUGAGCUUGUUUUGUUUUGCUUUUAAAUAUUCCACAUACGAGAGAUCAUAUGGUAUUUGUCUUUCUCUGUCUGACUUAUUUCACUUAUUAUAAUGCCCUCAAGUUCCAUUAAUGUUGUAGCAAAUGGCAAGAUUUCUUUCUUUUUAUGGCUGAAUAAUAUUCCGUUGUGUGUGUAUACAAUUUCUUUAUCUAUUCAUCAUUGAUGGUUACUUACGUUGUUUCCAUAUCUUGGCUACUGUAAAUAAUGCUGCAAUGAUUGUAGGAGUGCAUAUUUUUCAAAUUAGUGUUUUUGUUUUCUUUGGAUAAGUACCCAGAAGUGAAAUUGCUGGAUCAUAUGGUAGUUCUAUUUUUAAUUUUCUGAGGAACCUCAAUACUGUUUUCCAUAGUGGCUACACCAUUUUACAUUCCCACCAGCAGUGCAAGAGGCUUCCCUUUUCUCUACAUCCUCUCCAACACUUAUUUCUUGUCUUUUUGAUAAUAGCCAUUCUAACAGGUGUUAGAGAUGUUGAGCACCUUUUCAUGUGCUAAUUGGCCAUCUGUGUGUCUUCUUUGGAAAAUGUCUAUUCAGAUCCUCUGCCCAUUUUUUAAUCAGAUUGUUGUUUUUUUUGCUAUAAAGUUGUAUGAGUUUUUAAUAUAUUUUUGGAAAUUAUACCCUGACCAGAUAUAUGUGGUUGCAAAUGUUUUCUCCCAUUCUGUAGGUUGUAUUUUCACUUUGUUGAUGAUUUCCCUUGUUGUGCAAAAGCUUUUUAGUUUGAUCUAGUCCAACUUGUUUAUUUUUGCUUUUGGUGUGAGAUUCAAAGAAUCAUCACCGAGAGCUAUGUCAAGGAGCUCCACUACCUAUAUUUUCUUCUGAGAGUUUUAUGGUUUCUGGUCUCAUGUUCAGGACUUUGAUCCAUUUUGAGUGGACUUUUCUAUAAGAUGUAAGAUAGCGGUCCAGUUUCAUACUUUUGAAUAUGGCUGUCCAGUUUUCCCAGCACCAUUUCUUGAAAAGACUGUCCUUUCGUUUUUGUAUAUUCUUGGCUCCUUUGUCAUAAAUUGAUUGACAUAUAAGCAUGGUUUAUUUCCUGGCUCUCUAUUCUGUUCCAUUGAUCUUUGUGUCUGUUUUUAUGCCAAUAUAAUAUUGUUUAAUUACUAUAGCUUUGUAAUAUAGUUUGAAAUCAGGGAGCAUGAUGCACCCAACUUUGAUCUUUCUCAAAAUUGUUUUGGCUAUUUGGGGUUUUUUGUAGUCCCAUACAAAUUUUAGGAUUGUUUGUUCUAUUUCUGUGAAAAACCCCAUCAGAAUUUUGAUAAGGAUUGCAUUUAAUCUGUGGAUUGCUUUCAGUAGUAUGGACAUUUUAACAAUAUUUAUUCUUCUAAUCCGUGAACAUGCAAUAUCUUCCCAUUUGUUUGUGUCUUCUUCAAUUUCUUUCAUUAAUGUCCUCUAGUUUUCAGUGUACAGGUCUUUAACCUCCUUGGUUAAAUUUAUUCCUAAGUAUUUUAUUCUUUUUGAUGCAAUUGUAAAUGAGAUUGAGUAUAGCUGUAGUAGAUUAGAUAUUACAAAAGUUAAUUAUAUCUGGUUGAAUAUAGAGACACUCAAAUAAACCAAGACUUUAAAUUACAUGGUAUAUCAUUUUGAAAAGUAAGGAUUAUCCAAAAGCCUGCAAUCCAUUCUUUCCAUUUACCAGAUUAUCCAGAAAGAAAAGGAAAAAUGCAACCUGAUCGAUUUGCUAAACAAAAUGCUAAAAAGUAUUUGCUAAUGGAACAGUCACUAACUUUGAAAUGAUUUUAGUAGAAUGUAUUUACUCUAUCUAGAUUUGUUUGUGAUAAACAAACUUGAGAACUAUGGAGUUAUUGAAUAUAUCAUCUAUUAUGUCAGUCAGUAUCAGAUUUAGCAACCAUGGAAAUGGUUGACAGAUGCAGAAUAAUGCCCCCCAUCCCCCAACAAAAGACAUCCGUGGACUGAUCCAUGAAACUUGAGAAUGUUACCUUACAUGGGCAAUGGGGAAUGAAGAUUCCAGAUGGCAUUGAAGUUCCUAAUCAGAUGACCUUAAAAUAGGGAGAUUAUCUGUUUUUGGAUUUGAAGAUGGAGGAAGGAUUUCACAAGCCAAGGAAUGCUACUGACUUCUAGAACCUGGAGAAAGCAAGGAAAUGGAUUUUUUUAGAGCCUUUAGCAAGGAAUGCAGCCCUGCCAACAUGUUGAUUUGAGCCUAGUGAGACCCACACUGGACUCCUAACCUACAGAACUGUAAGAUAAUACAGUUGUGCUAUUUUAAGCCCUAAGUUUGUGGUGAUUUGUUACAGCAUCCAUAGAAAUGAAUCUAAUAUUUCAUGAUCAAAAUGACUUAUUUUGUGUAAGUGAUGAUACAUAGAGCUCUGAGAGAACUCAUUUGCUAAAUCAGAUUUAGCCAGGCUAUGUCCUGAUGCAGAAAAGAAGCACCUUGAGACCUGUAUUGGCAAUCCAAUACUUUCUGCUUCAUCUCUGCCUCAUGGUUACUUAUAUCCUUGAAAUUAGUAGUAAAAUGUGAUACUGUGUAAAAUCUCUUAUUCCUGUGAGUCUGAUUUAGCACACCAAUUGUUUAUAUUUUCUCAUUGCCUGAUUUUUUUCUAAAUAAGAACUAUCAAUGAUAUAUUAUUAUUCAAUUCAGUAAGUGUUUAUUUGGCAGAUACCGUGUCCUAGUAGAGAAUUAGAUAGUAUGUAAAUGCAUAAUAAGUGAAUGAAAUAAUUACUGUUUCAGGGAACUUACAAUCUACUUGAAUCAUUUCAAUUACAGCUCCAUAGAUAUCAGAACAUCAUUUGAAGAUGCUUGUUUCUCCUCUGCCCAAGAUGAGAGUCAAAAGUAUGUAUUGACUUCAAGAAAAUCUAACAAAAACUUUCAUAUCUUUACAGCAGUGUUGGCAGACUUUGAAUCCUAUUACUGAAAAAAGAAAAUUAAUCAGUUCUUGAAAGUGUCAAGAACAGAGAAAAAAUGCUAAGAUAAGGCUGCUUCUGUGAGCCAAUGGGAAUUUUAUACAUAGUAGGCCUUCAAGAGUUGUUUGCUGAGAGUGAUUGAGUCAUCACCGAAGUUAGAUGGAGAAAAAAAUUAAGUCGAGUUCACUGUGCUCUGCUCCUGUCUCCUCUAUCAAUUAGCAAGAAUAAAGCCAACUCAAUAAGGUGAAAAGUACAAACCUUUCAAGUCUAGAAUAAAUAAGCACAAGGUCUAGAUCAUUACUAUAACAGGGAAAAAUUGGAAAAUCUGGUUUAGACAUUGCUAUUAUACUUUAGAAUUUAACUGUAGCUUCAAUUUUGAGAAACAGAUUUGAUUCUGUACUGCUUCAAACACAAUCAGGACAAAAUCUAGGUUGAAAUAGCAAGGAGUACAAAAAUAAAAAUAAAAAACUCAGAAUUGAGGAAAUUGAACUUGUCUAAAAACUCUGACAAUGAUCAGGAAUCAAUAUCUGAUAAAAUCUCUAUAGACUAGGACUGAAAACAACUUAAUUAAGUGAAAUUAUUGAUUGGGGCAUGUAGUAUAAUGGUUACUUUAUGUAUGUAAUGAGCAUCUAAAAGUAAAAGUAUUUCAGAAAUAUGCCAAAUUUUAUUAUAUCAACUCAGAGCUCUAUUAUUUUAAUGUCUACUAUUCUUAAUGUUCCAAUUUCCCUUGAGAAAUGAAAGAAAUCCCAGUGAACUGAAUGCCCACCUCAAAAGGUGCUUUGAUGUGAGGGUAAUAAAAAUAAUAACAGCUAUCACUUAUCAAGUGCUAACAAUAUGUCAGACACUACAUGCUCUAUCACUGCGCAAAUUAUGUCACUUACGUCUUUCAACAUCCUAAUGAGAUCUUAUACAGCCCUUAUUUAUAUGGGGAAAUUAAGCUCAAGAAAAAUUUGGUUAUGUAGCUUGAUAAUACAUGUAGUAUGUAAGAAAGCUCAAAUUGGAAUCCUUGCCUAUGACAUAGCACAUGAUUUUAACAACAACCUAGCCAACUUCUCACUUUUACUUACUCCCUUAUUUACCCACUGUCCACUGUCCACUGGAAAAUGUUGGUUAAUUUAAGACUCAGAUGAAAGGUCAUUACCCAUCAGACUAUUUCUCUAAUAUUCUAGGCAUAGUCUAAUGCAUCAUGCUUCUGCUGAUCUAUAGAGAAUAUACAAAAGUUAUUUAACUUUAAGCUUUUCUAUAGCUGAGAGCAUUAUUUCCUGGCGGAAGCUCCUGCAUGAACUGAUAAGUACAGGAUUACUGAUAAUAUGCAAUUUACAACCAUAAUGAGAAUAGCCAAAUAUUACUUAACAAAAGAACAUUGAACACCUUUAACAAUUUCAGGGGAUUUGCAGGCAUCAGAAUGGAUGUAGAAAUACGAGUGACCAGAUAGUUAGAUUCAAUUUCUGAGCUUGCUCAUUGUUACAACUCUAUUGAGAAUUUCCCAAUUUGCACAUCACUCUUUCUUCUACACUUUCAAUGUGCUAACUCUGAUAGCCGCCUCUCCCCACCCCUUUCCUUUCUCUCCCUCCCUCCUUCUCCCUCUCUCUUCAUACAUCUCCCUUUCCCAGAGGUCACUAACAAAUUGCUUUCCUAAGCAAACUAUUGAAAGAUUAAAUUUGUCUUCAACAUAUCUUCUCCAUAACCCACACCAAGUAACAUAUUGCCACGGCAGUUCACUCUAGCUACCAGUAAAAUGUAGAGAUUGAAAGCAUAAACUAGCUAAUAUAAUUAACUUAUAGGUGUCCUAAGAGUACUGGGAAGUCACUUUCGUUGCAAUUGCAAUGGAGUCUUGGGGAUGAUUUCCAGCAGUGGCCAGCACUGAGCACCCCUAGCAAGCUUUGGUGAAGUGGCCUGGCUCUAAGAUCAAUUGCACACAGGAAAAUUUAAAUACUUUAAGUUAUAUUAAUACACAAAAUAAUACAAUGUUAACUAAAAUAAAGUGAAAAGAGAUUGUAUCUGCUGGGGUGAUAUUCUUGUGAAUGAGUAGGAAGGUGACACCUUGUCCUUGAAGGACUAAAUCCUCCUGACACAUGGUUACUUGGGUGCCUGCCGUCAGAUCUUUAGGACAGCAGCUGUGUCUGUGUGCUAUUGCUGCAUCCAAACUGUGAAUGAUUAGACCAGAGCAAUCCACACAUGUCAAAAUUUGAUGAAGCAGGUCCAUUUCCUAGAUAUUCUGGGACCAUUUUCUGCAAAGGGCAGUGUUUUGCUUGUUUAUAAUGACUGUGGUUACUCUUACUGACAAGUGAUAGCCUUUUGUGCAGAGGUAUAACCAGUUCCUAAUGUACUUUCAGGAUUUCCAGACAGAAAUGUUUAUUAUUGGAGAUAUGCUCACAAAUACCUCAGUAUCUCUUCACUGAUAACUUCUUCUAUGCCUCCUAUUUCCUAGCUUCAUAUUAGGGCCUUUAGGAGUUGUUAUUUUCCUUUAGAUUAUGAUGUGAUGGCAAAGGCAGGAUGUGGUGUCCUCAGGAGGGUAUCUGAUAAACUCGAAUAACUAACACUAUGUGACAUCCCGUCUACAUUCCUGAGGAUCUAAAUGAUGCCUGAGAGGUGUCUCUAAGUUAUUCAACAUUAUUAAAAAUUGUGAACAACUUUCCUGAACUUGAUGCUUUGAAAAUUAAAUCACUCUAAUUUCUUCUCUUAAAAUCCUUUAACCUAAGCAUGAAGGCCUUUAACAUGGCCAGGUAGGAAGUUAUGACAUCAGUAUAACUAAAAAUAGGAGCGGAGUUUGAGUAAAAGAAAUGUGUUUUAUUAACAUUAUGAUAUAACUAUACCACCCAGUCGUAGUAACUGCAAGGAAGUCGUUGCUGAGAACUGGCACAAAUACCCAGUUGCCCUCCCAGAAUGUAGCUCUUUAAAUCCAGGCUGAAAUUUGCAGGGUUUUUUUUUUUUUUUUUUGGAGGAAGAUUAGCCAUGAGCUAACUGCUGCCAAUCCUCCUCUUUUUGCUGAGGAAGACUGGCCCUGAGCUAACAUCUGUGCCCAUCUUCCUCUACUUUAUAUGUGAGACACCUACCACAGCAUGGCUUGACAAGCAGUGCCAUGUCCUCACCUGGGAUCAGAACUGAGUAACCCCAGGCCGCCUAAGUGGAACAUGAGCACUUAACCACUGCGCCACUGGGCCGGCCCCUGCAGUUGCUUAAAGUGACUUUAGACCCAACUUCUUUCAAGGGCAUGUUGUUUAUGUAAAGUUGGAAACUUCAGCUGAGCAUAAUGCUUUUUGUAAGAAUAGAUGUGUAGAAUAUUAUAAAUGGUAAUAAAUAGCAACUGUGGCUUUUAAAAUCAAUUCCAUAUAAACAUACAGUAUAGAUUCCUAUACAUAUAUAGUACUAUCAAAUCAAAUAAGAACAUGUGGUCAAGAAAACAUCAUACAAUGAGAAAAUAUCAAAAUCAAUUUUAAAAAACUAUUUUCUUUGGGCCAGCCAGUGGUGUAGUGGUUAAGCUUAUGCACACUGCUUCUGCAGCCUGGGGUUCGCCAGUUGAGAUCCUGGGUGUGGACCUAGCCCUGCUCAUCAAGCCAUGCUGAGGGAGUAUCCCACAUAGAAGAACUAGAAUGAAAAGAAAGAGGGAGAUUAGCAACAGAUGUUAGCUCAGGGCCACUCUUCCUCACCAAAAAAAAAAAAAAAAAAAAGUUUCCUACAGCUGUUAUAACAAAGGACUAAAGAGUGGCUUAGAACAAUAGAAAUUAAUUGUCUCACCAUUUCAGAGGCUAGAAGUCUAACAUCAAGAUGUCAGCAGGCAGUGCUCUCUCUGAAACCUGACAGGGAGGAUCGUUCUCUGUGUCUUCCAGCUGCUGUUAGUCCAUGGUGUCCUUGUCUUGUGGCAUUCUCCUAUUCUCAUCACAUAAUCUUCCCUCUGUUCAUAUCUGCCUCUGUGUCCAAAUUUCUAUAUUUCAUAAAGACAUCAGUCAUUGGAUUAGGAUCCACUCAAAAUGACCUCAUUUUGACUUCAGUAUCUCUGUAAAGACCCUAUUUCCAAAUAAGGUCAUAUUCUGAGUACUGGGAGUUAGGACUUCAACACAUCUUUUUUUAAGAGGGAUAUGAUUCAACCUAUAACAAGUUACAAAUAUUUUUAUUUGAAUUUGGAAAAUUUCUAGGAUUUCUCCUUAAAAGCCUGUGCAUUUUGCCCUUUGGUGACACAGUGUAUUAAGUUCCAUUCUUAUAACAUUUCUGCUUUUUGUGAAAUAUUAGAAUUCCCUCUGAUCACAGCUAAAAGAUUUAUGAUACCCAACUUUGUUCCGUAGAUGAGAUUGGAGGCAAAGAUAGAAUCCUAUGAUACUGAUUUAUUAGAAUUAAACUAGAAUAGUUGUUUUAUGUAAGUCCCUGUUUAAAGGAAGGCAAAUAAAUUAAUUUUGCUCAACACAAAUUGCUGUUUUCCACAUUACUUUGAUUUUCAAAUCCUUCGCAAACUGAUAUUUUCCUCUCACUUUGGGUGUCUACUCUGUUAUUUCAACGUAUUUCUGGAUAACUGUGGCGAUUCCGAGAAACGAGACUAGCUCGUUUGACUUAUCAAAUGUUUAGUUGUUUGUGGAGAAUUGUCUUCGUCCUUUCUUUGCCGGUGGAGCAGAGCACUGAAUGUGGAGAUGAGCAGUCGUUCAGGUGUCAUUUUCUAAGCACUAGUGCAGGAUCUCUAAGUAGGAUACUUCCAUGUUGGGAAUUUCAAAAUAGCAACUCGACCUUUAUAUUGCAACGAAUUACCAUGCAACUUUUAUUGAGAAAUAAAUUAGGAAGUUGGGUUUUUCGUUUUUGUUGGUCACUGUCUUCUGAGUUUUCUAGUAAAAGAUAAUGCCACGAUUUACGUUCCUCGGAAGCAGACUCUAUGAUGGCGUUUACCAGGCAGUUCGUUUAUUCAGGAGUCUCUUUGGGAUCAGCGCUCAAAAGUGAGAAGUCAACACUGGGCACAAGAAGCAACUGAACAGUGAUGCAGACCCAAGACAGUCUUGGUCAAUCCCAGGGAAAGUUCUGGAGGUAGAAUGGUCCUUCAGAGUUGUCUCUUAUUGCGUUGAGCUGGCCAGGCCAUUAUAAUCUCUUAGGGAUCAGGAUGUGAGCCAUGGAGGAAAGGCGCCAUCUUGGGGAGACAAUCUUCUCCAGCUGAGGCGAUCCCUAAAGGACCUGAUAACUGACAGAUAUAUGCCCACAACCCACCCAAGAACUGAGACAAGUCCUUCUUUUCUGGGGAAUCUGGGCAGUGUGUCCCAGUGUGCACCACAGGGAAAAGAUUCCUAUAAUAAUUUUGAGAUGUGUUUUCACUGCCUAUGCACUCAUAAUGUGGAUCCACAGAAGCUAUGAAAAACAUUUAAUGUUGUAUUCAUUGCAUAACAAUAUAAAAAACAACUCUAAGCUUAUAUUUUUGUUUUCACUUCCCUUAUUAAUCUUCUUUGGAUAGCAUAUAACAGAACAUUGCUUCACCUCUGUUGUAACUUGAAUUAGAGAAUAUGAAUAUGGAGUUAUUUCUACUCAAAAAUUGCUAAACUGUGUAAAUGAUACCAUCAUCCUGAUCUAAUGUUUUUUAAUGUGAAGAAGUGUGUGUAUGUGUGUGUGUGUGAAUGGGGACGUGUUUGUAGUCCUGAGAAUAACAUCAUUCUGUUACCAAGCAUUUUACAUUCGUCUUGGCUAUAGCCUGGGAAAAUAUGAUAGAUACAUGUAGGUGCUAGUCUCCUAUUCCUAACGCCGUCCUUGAAUUCUCCAGAAACCAAGCAAUAUCUUGGGCUCAGAAAGUCCAAAUCUAUUUUAUUUGUUGAUAUUUCCACCUCCAGUAUGCAUAAUGCCUCAUUAACAAUUGAAUAGAGAAAUAGUAAACUUUCAGUCUUGUCAGCAGAAUCAUUCUGAAUUGUGCUAAAAUAAGAGACUGGGAGGACACAACUCGUAUUCUGAUGACAAAGGAAGUGAUUUUUAGAGAAAAUAGAUAUCUUUUAACUUAGGAAUCAACAGCCUUGAUGAGAAAGUUUUCGAGAGAGUGCAAAAAAUGUAACCUUGUUGCCCCUAUCAUUUUCCCUGUCACAUUUGUCUCUAAACACCUAAGAGUAGGUCUGGUCAGUCGUAACUACAUCCUGCUAAUGUACGAUGUCUGUUCAGUAUGGAUUUUUUCUAUUCUGAGGUUCAGUUAAAUUUAUAACAGCUCCUGAAAUAUGACAAAAUUUUCCUUUCCAAUCAAGUUAGUCAAAAUGCCAGCUUGGAUUAUUGAAAUAGAUCUCUAUCUGGGUUCCCAACCUCUCCUGCUCAGAAUCAAAACUAGUUUAAUUUUCCAAACGUGCAGCUGGGUUUGAACCACAUCUCUGCUCAAAAAACUCUAUGUACCUCAGCGCAUAUAAAAUUAAAUAAAACCUCCGUGCUGGAUUCAAGGUCAUUUGUAAGAUUGUUUUAGUCCAUAUUUAAGCUCUGAAUUCACACUACUCUUACUGAUGGCCCCUAUUGUAUCACACCACUCGAACCCCCAACCUGCAUGAGCCCAAUCAAAUGAAGCUAAAGUGAACUCCAGGGUCUUAAAUUAAAAGUCUGUAUGAUGAAAUAUACCCACCAGCCCUCUCCCAUGUUGACAGAUAAGUUAAUUGACUAAAUUUUUAAAAUUUUCCUCAACUCCACUGUUCUAGAAGUUUUACAAAAAUACUUUUAUUUUAUUGUCUUCCUAAUUAUACAUUUCCUUCUUUCCUUCCUUCCCUUCUCUCCUUUUCUUUUGUCCAUCCUGUUCUUCUUCUGAGAACUGCUUUCAAGUUUGCAAUUUCAUCCCCACUACGUGGAGAACAAUAUUCAACAAUGUAUUCCAAGAUGGAUCUGACUCGUAAAUACGCCACUUAUGAGAUGACUGUAUGCAUUUGACAUGCUCUUCACUCUUCUAUAAAUUAUUUUAUUUUACUUACUUUUAAAAUGAUGCAGCAACUUUCUGAAUUGAUAUUCAUAUAAACAGACAUAUUUAUUCCACAGUUUAGAUUUUGGGGUUUAAAAAAAAUCUUCUUCGGUAUGCCAAUCUGGCAAUAAUCACUAUAUUGCACCAUUCUUUCAUUUCAGCAGACCAUUUGAACCUUGUGUGUAAUUAUGAUCUGCCAGUCUAUUUGUCUUUGGAAAUUAUAACUCUGUUCUUUAAUCUUCUUUGUUUUUAACGAAGAGCUUAAUUGGUGUUUUAGACAACUGCGUUGAUAAUUACGGAAAUGUUUUUUGAUAAAUUUUCCCAUGGUGCGACAUAAAAAAUGCAAAUAGAUGAGAACAGUUAAGAAAUUAAUGUUAAUAAUUAAUUAACAUUAAUUUUAAAAAUUAAUAAUUAUGACGGUAAAUUAAGAUUCAAUAUAACUGUGAAGAAGAAUACAGAGCAAAUGUAACAGAAACAAUAGUCAAGCAUUAAAAAUUAUAAAACUUUCCUCAGGUGAAAAAAGACCAGGAAGAACAAUCUAUAACUAUCCAGGAGACACACUUCCCAGUCAGGCCAGGCCAAGACUUGAUCUUACUCCUCAGUUAGAAGCCACAAGGGAGGUGCAGGCAGAUCUUGAAGAAGACAAACAUCAAGACCACCAGCCUAGGAUGAGACAUUUUCACCGUCUCUAGGAAGACCGUCGCUCUAGGAAAGGGGAUGGGGCUGCUUCUACUGGCCCAGAGGAUUUCGGGCAAUUUGAUACCCUGACUGUUUCAUAGGAGCCUUGUUGGAUCUGCUAAUUUGGCUUUCUUUGGAACUCUUUUAUUCUCACAAUUAUAUCCUGGACUCAGUUUUUGACAGAGUCUGUUCCCUGCUGCUGGAAAUGAAAGGCUGUUUACAUACUGACAUGGAGGCCUUCUGGCUUUCGCACUAUGCCUUGAAUUAAUAACUAACUAACAUGAACCUGCCAUUUUCUUCCUUAAAGGUUUCAACGGCAGUUAACAACAAGUUAUUUUCUUAAUUCUUAUGUAUUUACCAGUUUACCUGUGUCUUUCAUGAUUGAUAUGUUGCAUAAGUCAGUCCAUCUUUUUCACGGAUCCCCAUCCCAAUUAAUCUCAGGUUUUUGGGUAAUUAGGCAUUAUUAGCAUUCAUAAUCACGCCUGGUAAUAGGGCCCAUGUUGCCAUCUGGUAUGUGAGUAAACCAAUUCUAAAAUUUCAUCCUGAGGAGUCUGUCUCCUAGAGCUGCUUCUGGCGCCAGUUCUCUUGAUUUGAACUCCCCCAGAAGCAGUCUUUGGGAUGAAUAUUUGAGUAUAAGUAGCUUAUUUGUUUAUUUGGUCUAUUUGGUAGUUAUUUGAGGUCAGAAAACAAUGGUAGGGAAGUGGGAAAGUGAGCAAAGGAAGACGUGAAAGCCGAUAAGGUGGUGUUAUCAAGUAAGUUAUCACUGUAGGCAACUGCAGCUCAAACCCGUGGGGAAAAUUGGGGAAGCAGCAGAACACGCCUCAGAAUCUCAGAGAGGUGAAAAAUCUGGGAAAUUUUCCAGUUCUGAUGAGUCCAUGUUUGAUGGAUGCUCCUGGAGUGCAUAAGUUCUUGAAGACUUCUGGUCUGUCCUUCAGGAGCCCAGAGAAAGCCUUCAGGCAGAAGUGGAGGGGCUGGUAGUUGAAAUUUGGGGUAGCAAUGUGAGAAGUAAGUGCUAAGUUGAUAGGAGCAGGACAAUGACAGCAUGUGUGAUGAGAAGAAAAAGAGUUAAAAUUUUUAGGAGCCAGCCUGGUGGCAUAGUGUUUAAGUUCGUUCACUCUGCUUUGGUGGCCUGGGGUUCACGGAUUCAGAUCCCAGGUGUGGACCUACACAUCGCUCAUCAAGCCAUGCUGUGGUAGCAUCCCAUGUACAAAACGCAGAGGAAGAUUGGUGCAGAUGUUAGCUCAAGGCUGAUCUUCCUCAUUAAAAAAAAAAAAUUAAUGGUCCUUGUACUAUCAAGAGGGGUAAAAGUUUUGAUUAAUACGAUGUCUGAUAAAUUAAGUACUCAUGUUUUAGUCUGGGAUAACCUAUUAAAAAGCAAUUCUUUGGGAUAAAUAUCAUGCAGUGCUCAUGAUUCGCUUUUGUCUUUAAUAAAAAUAUUUCUUUAUUAAACAUAAAAAACUAAACAUUUCUUAAUAAGUCAAACUUAUAACUCCUUCCUUUUCCCUUGGAGCAAAUUUUCCAAAUGCUGUUAGACUUUGGAAGUUCUUUGUACUUAUUUUCCAGAAAUGCUUAGAAAUAAAAAAAUCUCACUUAGAAUUAACCUGAAUCACUUGGCCAUAUUAAAAUAUUAGAAUAAUUUUUUCACAGAAAUUCAGAAAACAUGCAAAUGAGCACACUUUUUGAAAAAAAAUAGAAAAUAUACUCCAAUCGAUCAAAUAUUUCCUACCCAGGUUCAUACCAGAUAUAAACAAAAGAAAAUGGGAUUGCCAUCAGAUUUUUAGACAUUAAUAUUCAACGUUGUUAAACAGUUGAGCCAUAUUUAAUAACACUCAUGGAAAGAAAUCGAGAGCCAAGGAUUUUAUAAUUAGCUGGCCUUUCCUUUAAAUCAAAAGUCUACAGAAAACAAUUUUGAAUGCACAAUAACCCAGGAAAUAUUGACUUCUGAUGAUUCUACUACUAGAGGAUGUGCUUAAUUUCAGGAGAUGACUGAGGAAACCAUGUCAGGAAAAGACAGACUGGUGGUGAAUACUGAAUAUAUUUUUAAUAAAAUUAAGAACAAAGAAAUCAAAGACUGAUAUAAGAUGACAGAAUGUUCUGUGUUAUAUACUCUGAUAAUGUCGAAACAGCCCAACUAACAAAAAGUAGGAAGAGAAGAGUUAUUAUAAAAUAGGCCCACUUAUUGACUCAUAGGUAAUAACAAAGUAAAAAUAUUUUAUUGAAGUUGACAAAUUAGGCAGUAAAAGCUUAAGCAUAUUUCUGAACAUAAAGAUGCACACCAAAAAAAAGAUAAUACUGUUGACUAAAUAGGAUAAUGGAGGAGAAGAAGGACAAGAAAUUCUAUUUUUGUUUGUAAAAAAAAUGAAAAGGAGACUAAAGAUGUUAAUAUAAAAGUCACAGCAGCAAAGGUAUGCACAUUUUUUAAAAUAAUAGAAUGAUAGCAACAAAAAAAGAACAAAGCAAAACACAUCAGAUAUUGAAAGAGUAUAUGUGUAUAUGUGCGUGUGUGAAUAACAUAUUCAUAUAUAGCCAUUAUAUAUGUGAAAGUAGAUAUAAUAUACAUAUAUAUUCACACAUAGACAUAGACAUAUAUACAUAAAUAUAUACACACAUGCAUAUAUGCAUAUAUACAUGUACAUAAAAUAUUCUUAGAUUUUUAUUCACAUUUUUAAAGUAAUUUGUCUCAAAUUAUUUGCAUUGGCAGGUACAAAUCCACAGAUGGAGAAAUAGUUUAUAGGUUGUGAAGUAUCAUGGUACUUUUGUUAUUUAAAAUUCAUGUCAAAUUAUUCCCCAGCAUGUUAAAAUGGCAAAUGUCUUUUCUGGGAAGGUAUCCAGGUUUACAUGGAUUUUAUUUCUUUGAACAAUAAUUUCACCCUUUUAUGAUGCAAAGUCCAAAUAUGGUUUUUGAUGACAUUUCAGAAACUUAUAUGCAGUUUAGUUUUUGAAAAGUUGCAAUAUUCUCUUACUAACUUCUUCUGCCCAUAAGAGGACAUUAGAUAGAAACUUGUUAUUUUAUCUUCAGAAGUUCAUAACAUUAAAUUGAGGCUUCAUGUUAUGUUAAAAAUCUAACAGUGAAUUCAUCAUUUUGCUGUUAACUGUUUCCAACAAAUUGUACUUUUUGAUGUCCUUUUCUUGUAGUGGCUUCAAGCCUUUCAGAGUGCAUCAAAUUCAGAACUGUUGAAUUUCCCUUUAUUACGUACGUUUCUCACUACUUUUCCUUCAACAAUAAUUGGUUGGCACAUCUCAGGCAUUUUAUUUUCCCAAUGCCUCCUCGCUUUUCUAUACUGUCUUCCCAUUCCGCAGUCUCUAAGGGCUCAUUUUCACAUUAGUGGGAUUCUUCUGACUGGCAAUGCCUGUCUACCACACUGUGCGCAAUGUUGCCAGACAGAACUCUCAUAUCAUCUCUCAGCUUGGAAAAUUUCAAUAAUUCCACUUCAAUCCAGAAUCCUUUGCCUAGCACCUAAUGCCACAAAAAUUCUGUCUUUUUUGCCAGGGGGCAUAUUUCUCAUGGAUGAUUAUGUAUAUUUUUUAAAAUAUUUUUAAUUGAGGUAUAAUUGACAUGUAACAUUAAUUUCAGGUGUACAACAUAAUGAUUUGAUAUUUGUAUAAAUUGCAAAAUGAUCACGAGAAUUGGUCUAGUUAUCAUCCGUCAUCAUACAUAGCUACAGAACUUCUUUUCUUGUGAUGGGAAAUUUUAAGACUUACUCUUUUGGCAACUAUCAAUUAUGCAAUACAAUAUUGUUAACUAUAGUCGCCAUGCUGUACCUUACAUUCCCAUGACUUAUUUAUUUUGUAAAUGGAAGUUUGUACCUUUUGACUCCCUUCACCCAUAUUGCCCACUCCCCAACCCCCACCUCUGGCAACCACAAAUCUGUUGUCUGUAUCUAUGAACUUAAGCUUGAGGGUUUUUUUGUUUUUUUUACAUUCCACAUACAAGUGAAAUCAUAUGCUGUUUGUCUUUCUCGAUCUGACUUAUUUCACUUAGCAUAAUGUUCUCAAGGUCUAUCCAUAUUGUCGCAAAUGACAAGAUUCCUUUCUUUUUUUUAUGGCUGAAUUAUAUUCCAUUAUAUAUUUUUUUUCGGCGUUUUUUAUGGUUCCAUACAAAUUUCAGAAUUGUUUGUUCUA